rnacentral:rRNA from 1 species
CCCACGGGGGGCUGCAGUGGGGAAUAUUGGACAAUGGGGGCAACCCUGAUCCAGCCAUGCCGCGUGUGUGAAGAAGGCCCUCGGGUUGUAAAGCACUUUCAGUGAGGAAGAACGCCUGGUGGUUAAUACCCAUCAGGAAAGACAUCACUCACAGAAGAAGCACCGGCUAACUCCGUGCCAGCAGCCGCGGUAAUACGGAGGGUGCGAGCGUUAAUCGGAAUUACUGGGCGUAAAGCGCGCGUAGGUGGCUUGAUAAGCCGGUUGUGAAAGCCCCGGGCUCAACCUGGGAACGGCAUCCGGAACUGUCAAGCUAGAGUGCAGGAGAGGAAGGUAGAAUUCCCGGUGUAGCGGUGAAAUGCGUAGAGAUCGGGAGGAAUACCAGUGGCGAAGGCGGCCUUCUGGACUGACACUGACACUGAGGUGCGAAAGCGUGGGUAGCAAACAGGAUUAGAUACCCUAGUAGUC